rnacentral:rRNA from 1 species
AUUGAACGCUGGCGGCAGGCUUAACACAUGCAAGUCGAGCGAGCGGCGGACGGGUGAGUAAUGUCUGGGAAACUGCCUGAGGGAGGGGGAUAACUACUGGAAACGGUAGCUAAUAACGCAUACCAUCAGAUGUGCCCAGAGGGGAUUAGCUAGUAGGUGGGGUAAUGGCUCACCUAGGCGACGAUCACUAGCUGGUCUGAGAGGAUGACCCGCCCCACUGGAACUGAGACACGGCCCAGACUCCUACGGGAGGAAGCAGUGGGGAAUAUUUCACAAUGGGCGCAAGCCUGCUGCAGCCAUGCCGCGGGUGUGAAGAAGGCCUUCGGGUUGUAAAGCACUUUCAGCGAGGAGGCGUUACUCACAGAGGAAGCACCGGCUAACUCCGUGCCAGCAGCCGCGGUAAUUC